rnacentral:rRNA from 1 species
GACGAACGCUGGCGGCGUGCUUAACACAUGCAAGUCGAACGGAAAGGCCCGCUUGCGGGUGCUCGAGUGGCGAACGGGUGAGUAACACGUGGGUAACCUGCCCCCUGCUUCGGGAUAACUCCGGGAAACCGGGGCUAAUACCGGAUAUUCAUUGCUGGCCGCAUGGUUGGUGGUGGAAAGUUUUUUCGGCUGGGGAUGGGCCCGCGGCCUAUCAGCUUGUUGGUGGGGUGAUGGCCUACCAAGGCUUCGACGGGUAGCCGGCCUGAGAGGGCGACCGGCCACACUGGGACUGAGACACGGCCCAGACUCCUACGGGAGGCAGCAGUGGGGAAUAUUGCGCAAUGGGCGGAAGCCUGACGCAGCGACGCCGCGUGAGGGAUGACGGCCUUCGGGUUGUAAACCUCUUUUAGCAGGGACGAAUUGUGACGGUACCUGUAGAAGAAGCACCGGCCAACUACGUGCCAGCCGCCGCCGUAAUAC